rnacentral:rRNA from 1 species
CAGCCGCCACGGUAAUACAGAGGGUGCGAGCGUUAAUCGGAUUUACUGGGCGUAAAGCGUGCGUAGGCGGCUUCUUAAGUCGGAUGUGAAAUCCCUGAGCUUAACUUAGGAAUUGCAUUCGAUACUGGGAAGCUAGAGUAUGGGAGAGGAUGGUAGAAUUCCAGGUGUAGCGGUGAAAUGCGUAGAGAUCUGGAGGAAUACCGAUGGCGAAGGCAGCCAUCUGGCCUAAUACUGACGCUGAGGUACGAAAGCAUGGGAAGCAAACAGGAUUAGAUACCCGCGUAGUCCCUGUCUCUUAUAC